UACGUAGGGCGCAAGCGUUUGUCCGGAAUUAUUGGGCGUAAAGAGCUCGUAGGCGGUUUGUCGCGUCUGCUGUGAAAACCUAAGGCUCAACCUUGGGCUUGCAGUGGGUACGGGCAGACUAGAGUGCGGUAGGGGUGACUGGAAUUCCUGGUGUAGCGGUGGAAUGCGCAGAUAUCAGGAAGAACACCAAUGGCGAAGGCAGCUCUCUGGGACGGUA
rnacentral:rRNA from 1 species